rnacentral:ncRNA from 1 species
CGUUGUGAACUGUGGGGACCAUCUCCCCCUGCAGAUCCGGCAGCGGUCUUAACCGCAAUCUUAAAAUCUUAUUACCCAAGAAGGAG